GUGCUCGCUUUGGCAGCACAUAUAUUAAAAUUAGAACAAUCCAGAGAAGAUUAGCAUGGCCCCAAAUAAGAAAUGAGUAUGAAGUUCUGCAGAGCACUUUG
rnacentral:snRNA from 1 species